rnacentral:rRNA from 1 species
CAAGAGCGUAUAUUAAAGUUGUUGCAGUUAAAAAGCUCGUAGUUGGAUUUCUGGUCAAAUGCGCCUGGCCCGCGGCCGUAAGGUCUGUGAGUGCCGGUGCGCGUUUACCAUCCUUCUAGAAAACGUUUCUACCCUUUACUGGGCCGGACUCGCGAUCUAGAUCUUUUACUUUGAAAAAUUAGAGUGUUUAAAGCAGGCUUUUGCUAUGAAUACAUUAGCAUGGAAUAAUAAUCUAGGACUUCGGUUCUUACUUUUGUUUGGUUUUCUUAGUACUGAAGUAAUAGAUUGAUAGGGAGUAGUUGGGGGUUGGCGUAGUAUUGGUCCGGGCCGACGAGGUGAAAUUACUUGGAUUCGGUCAAGACUAACUUAUG